rnacentral:rRNA from 1 species
CCUACGGGAGGCAGCAGUAAGGAAUAUUGGUCAAUGGACGCAAGUCUGAACCAGCCAUGCCGCGUGAAGGAUGAAGGUCCUCUGGAUUGUAAACUUCUUUUAUGAGGGAAGAAACCGAUGGAUUAUUCUGUCGUUGACGGUACCUUAGGAAUAAGCACCGGCUAACUCCGUGCCAGCAGCCGCGGUAAUACGGAGGGUGCAAGCGUUAUCCGGAUUCACUGGGUUUAAAGGGUGCGUAGGUGGGCUUGUAAGUCAGUGGUGAAAUCUCCGUGCUUAACAUGGAAACUGCCAUUGAUACUAUAGGUCUUGAAUUUUCCGGAGGUUAGCGGAAUAUGUCAUGUAGCGGUGAAAUGCUUAGAUAUGACAUAGAACACCGAUUGCGAAGGCAGCUAACUACAGGGAUAUUGACACUGAGGCACGAAAGCGUGGGGAUCAAACAG